rnacentral:rRNA from 1 species
UACGUAGGGACCAAGCGUUGUUCGGAUUUACUGGGCGUAAAGGGCGCGUAGGCGGCAAUUCAAGUCAUCUGUGAAAUCUCCGGGCUUAACCCGGAACGGUCAGAUGAUACUGCUUUGCUAGAGUGCAGAAGGGGCAAUCGGAAUUCUUGGUGUAGCGGUGAAAUGCGUAGAUAUCGAGAGGAACACCUGCGGCGAAGGCGAGUCCCUGGACAACUACUGACACUGAGGCACGAAAGCUAGGGGAGCAAACAGG